GACCCCGCACAAGUAGCGGAGCAUGUGGUUUAAUUCGAAGCAACGCGAAGAACCUUACCAGGUCUUGACAUCCUCUGACGACGUUAGAGAUAGCGUUUUCCUUUCGGGGACAGAGAGACAGGUGGUGCAUGGUUGUCGUCAGCUCGUGUCGUGAGAUGUUGGGUUAAGUCCCGCAACGAGCGCAACCCUUGUGUUUAGUUGCCAGCGGUAAGGCCGGGCACUCUAAACAGACUGCCGUAGAUAAUACGGAGGAAGGUGGGGAUGACGUCAAAUCAUCAUGCCCCUUAUGACCUGGGCUACACACGUGCUACAAUGGGAUGUACAGAGGGUAGCGAAGUAGUGAUACGAAGCCAAUCUCAAAAAACAUCUCUCAGUUCGGAUUGCAGGCUGCAACUCGCCUGCAUGAAGUCGGAGUUACUAGUAAUCGCAAAUCAGAAUGUUGCGGUGAAUGCGUUCCCGGGGUUU
rnacentral:rRNA from 1 species